rnacentral:Y_RNA from 1 species
GGCUGGUCCGAGUGCAGUGGUGUUUACAACUAAUUGAUCACAACCAGUUACAGAUUUCUUUGUUCCUUCUCCACUCCCACUGCUUCACUUGACUAGCCUUUU